UUAAGAGAGAACACGGAGACAAUUGACGGAGUGAAGUCAUUUUUUGCGCGUCUGAGAAACUUAACAAGAUGGAAAAGAGCGGUUAUCUGAUGGUGGUGGAUGACGCGGGCCAUGUGUCUGGU
ensembl:ncRNA B0416.8 ncRNA